GAGGGUAUAGUUCAGUGGUAGAGCGCGUGCUUAGCAUGCACGAGGUCUGGGUUCAAUCCUCAGUACCUCCU
rnacentral:tRNA from 1 species